GUUACCUUCGGGUAAUGAGGAUGGCGGACGGGUGAGUAACGCGUAAGGAACUUGCCUCUUGGACUGGGACAACUGUUGGAAACGACAGCUAAUACCGGAUAUUAUGAGAUUCUCGCAUGAGAAACUUAUGAAAGCUAUAUGCGCCAAGAGAGAGCCUUGCGUUCCAUUAGCUAGUUGGUGGGGUAACGGCCCACCAAGGCGACGAUGGAUAGCCGGCCUGAGAGGGUGAACGGCCACAAGGGGACUGAGACACGGCCCUUACUCCUACGGGAGGCAGCAGUGGGGAAUAUUGGACAAUGGGCCACAAGCCUGAUCCAGCAAUUCUGUGUGCACGAUGAAGGUCUUCGGAUUGUAAAGUGCUUUCAGUUGGGAAGAAGAAAGUGACGGUACCAACAGAAGAAGCGACGGCUAAAUACGUGCCAGCAGCCGCGGUAAUACGUAUGUCGCAAGCGUUAUCCGGAUUUAUUGGGCGUAAAGCGCGUCUAGGCGGAAAAAUAAGUCUGAUGUUAAAAUGCGGGGCUCAACUCCGUAUUGCGUUGGAAACUGUUUUUCUAGAGUACUGGAGAGGUGGGCGGAACUACAAGUGUA
rnacentral:rRNA from 1 species